rnacentral:lncRNA from 1 species
CGUUAGAAAUUCUUAAUAUCAUGCAACCUAUAGUUUAAACUUUUAUAAAAUAUUUUCUAAAAUUUAAUACAAAAAAACCUAACAUUUUAACAUACAAAAUGAAUGUAUGAAAUAUGAUAUUAUAAUAUUAAAAACUAAUUAGGAAAAAUAACUCUGCAAGCAAGUGAAAAAGAGAGAGCAAUUAGAGAAGGGUUUCGUUGGUUUCGUUUUAUGGGUCCAAUAACACCUAAACUCUACAUAUACAUAUAAAUAAUAUAUAUUUAUUACAUAUAAUUAAAUGUAUAUAUAUAAAGUCGGGUUAUUAUACUCUUAUGAGUAUAGACUUUUUUAUCCUAAUAAGUUUUCAAACGUUAAAUCUAUUCUUUUAACCAUUUUCAUCCAUUAAAUCAUAUUAUUCAACCAACCACCAUUCAACGCUAAGUGAUCAUUAUCAUCCUAACUGCACAUCUCUUCAUCCAUCGGCCGAAAAUUUAUGAAUACAAAAAAAUCAAUAUUCAUAAGAGUAUAAUAAUUAUAUAUAUAUA